UACGUAGGGACCGAGCGUUGUCCGGAAUGACUGGGCGUAAAGGGCGCGUAGGCGGAUGGCACAGUCAGAUGUGAAAUUCCCGGGCUUAACCUGGGGGCUGCAUUUGAUACGUGUAGACUUGAGUGGGGAAGAGGGUCGUGGAAUUCCCAGUGUAGAGGUGAAAUUCGUAGAUAUUGGGAAGAACACCGGUGGCGAAGGCGGCGACCUGGUCCUUGACUGACGCUGAGGCGCGAAAGCGUGGGGAGCAAACAGG
rnacentral:rRNA from 1 species